CAGCAGCCGCGGUAAUACAGAGGGUGCAAGCGUUAAUCGGAAUUACUGGGCGUAAAGCGCGCGUAGGUGGUUUGUUAAGUUGGACGUGAAAUCCCCGGGCUCAACCUGGGAACUGCAUCCAAAACUGGCAAGCUAGAGUAUGGUAGAGGGUGGUGGAAUUUCCUGUGUAGCGGUGAAAUGCGUAGAUAUAGGAAGGAACACCAGUGGCGAAGGCGACCACCUGGACUGAUACUGACACUGAGGUGCGAAAGCGUGGGGAGCAAACAGGAUUAGAUACCCCAGUAGUCCCUGUCUCUUAUAA
rnacentral:rRNA from 1 species